CACGCAGUAUAUAAUUUCCUGAAAUAACGUAACACAUCUACAGUCUUCUUAGUUUUCAAAUUAAAAUUUCUUCGAACAAUAUUAAACUCACACGCACGUACGUACGUACGAGAUAAACAAAACAAGCAGCUUACAAAACAUUGUAGAAUAUUCUUGGAAUAAAAUUGUAAUUACCGCCUACGAGAUAGAAAGAAAGUUGCCUUAGCUAAAUACAUUGUAUUGGCAAGCUUGCAAACCUGAAAUAGGAGAAUCACUCACUUUCCUAGAAUUUAUUAAACAAACAUUCAAAAAUACCUAGUCGCUCCGCUGGGGAGACGGGUUGGCGAUCACAUAAGCCAUCGUUGUCGUUGUCGUCGUCUAUAAUGCGAAACCACGAACAACACGCUGCCGGUGCAUGACAAUUUAACGAAUAUAAAAAGCCGGUUGAAUUGAGAGCGCUUAUCAUUCAAAAUUGAAUAUCAAAACAAAUAAGAUUCAAGGAAAGCCAAAGCUUUUCGUCCAACGCUGUUUCAAAACAAACAAAAAAACUCAAAACCAAGUGAAAUUUUCUAUGAAAUUUUUCACUUUAAAAUAAUUGCAAAUCUGUGGUGUCAAUGAAUUUCCGAGCCGACACUAAAGCCAAGUUAAAUGCUAAUUUGAGCCUUUCCAAACAUUUGUCAUCCAAAAAAGGUUCCCGUACCUCCAACUGCGGUAACAUCCUAGAAUUCUCUGUGCUAACUCGUCUGCAUAGCGUACCUUGAUUCCCCUCCACACAUUUCCAACCAUCUGAUAUCUUAAAUCAAAAAAAAAAUUUGUCAAAAUGGUCCACAAGAAUCGCUCAUCUCGCAAAUCCUGCCCCGUCAUUGAUGUCAGCCCCCAACGCAACUCAUUAUCGGUAUCGGCCAACAAAUAUGAAUUGUCCUCAAGCCCUCGUAUUGGUUAUAAACUAGAGGUACCCAGCCGCCCCAUUGGCUCCUCAUCGUCAUCGUCAGCAUCCUCAUCUAGUCUUUGGUAUUACAAUGACAUGAUCAAGAAUAAUCGUGAACAAUUCAAUAGUUUACAUUUUUGUUGAUAUUUGUUCUUAAAUAUAUAUUGUUGUAAAUUGAAUAUGCCAAAGUGUUAUACUGUUAUAAAAUAUCAUCACAAUUGUUUAAUGAAUAAAUUAAAAAUCAUUACAUAUCAA